CUGAUGUUAAGAGAUAUGAAAUCUGUUGAUCACAUUUAUGAGCUAGGCAUCUGUUCUCUUAGAAAGUUAUAACCAACGGAGCCAGUUCACUUCUUAGAAGGAAGGAGCAAUCUUCAAUCACAAUAUUGACCAAGCUUAAUGAUAGAAAUCUUUCCUCUAUGGAGGCAACAAAUCCUCGCAACCAUAAAUGUUUACAAGCUGCAAGUGUGCGUAGCAGGUUCAGAAGCUAUUCUUGCAAAAAAUGGGAAUCAAGAAUACCUUCAAGUUCUUUUUGCCUUAGCCACAGGUGAAGCAACUCAGCCUCAAGCAUCUCUGGUCUAAAUAUCCUCAAACGUAAAUGUUUCUUAAUCCUAUGUUCUCUAGCCAAGUCUGGUAUCUGCAGACCCAUUUCUCACGUUUACAGUUGGAUCUUGUCAUCAACGAACCAGCAUCAGUUUUGGUAGCCCUCUCCAUCAAGCACACCGGGAAACUUGUGUGGAGGAAGAAUUUUCGACUGCACAAAGAAUUGAAGCAUGGUCUCUCGUGCCCUUACCGCCAGAAAAUUUACCCAUUAACUGCAAAUGGCCAUUCAUGAUUAAGCUUAAUGCAAAUGAGGUUGUUCAAAGCUAGACUCGUAGCUAAAGGCUCCCCCCAAAAAAAAACCAAAAAUAAAGGGGCGCUUUUUAAGAUGAUGCAAGAAUUGACAGAUGUCAAAUGUGAGGCAGGAGCAUGUAAAGUUCAAAUACUUUGAUGCCUCAAUCAAGAUUGUGUUAUUUAUGGAUGUUCUGGAUCUGAAUGUCCCUCUUUAA